CGUGUAGGCGGCCUCCUCAGUCUGGUGUGAAAGCCCGGGGCUCACCCCCGGAAGUGCAUUGGAUACUGGGAGGCUGGAGUACCGGAGAGGAGGGUGGAAUUCCUGGUGUAGCGGUGAAAUGCGUAGAUAUCAGGAGGAACACCGGUGGCGAAGGCGGCCCUCUGGACGGAUACUGACGCUGAGACGCGACAGCGUGGGGAGCAAACAGGAUUAGAUACCCUGGUAGUCCACGCCGUAAACGAUGGGUACUAGGUGUUCGGGGUAUUGACCCCCUGAGUGCCGCAGCUAACGCAUUAAGUACCCCGCCUGGGGACUACGGCCGCAAGGCUAAA
rnacentral:rRNA from 1 species